GCAGUUUGUCUGCCGACCUUGGCCUUGGUCAUCCUCCUCACAUCCCCUUGAAUGAGCAGUUCCACACCUGAGAUGAUCUAUGAAAUGACACUUCCAGCUUUGGGUGAGAAAAACCAAAGAAAGCAUGGACAAAAAUAGGACUUUUCUGAUUUGGAAGUCAACAAUGCUGAUGGGCUCCUUAAAGACUUGGUGUUAAAGUUUACCAUCGGACAAGUACAUGACGGGGGCAGCCUUGUUACCAGCUUUGGCCAGUAAGGCUACAGGAAGAUGUGAUGGCUGGAACUCCCAGGAUGAAAUCAACAAUGGGCGGCCCUGAAUCCCUCUUUUCUUCUUCCUAUACCUCUCCCUCACUUUCACUCCCUACCGAAGACCCACAAAGCCUCCAGAUGACAGAGCAAAGUCAUGAACACUGAGUAACCUCAUGGAGAAAAGUUAUUUUAGAGAGUUGCUGGGAUUCGAAAUGGACUUUGUAUGAGCAGUAAAUAAAUCCCUGUUAGGUCAGGCUACCAGGAUUUGGGUACAUUCUGACCCACUAUCUCCUGACUGACAUAGAGAGACUCUUGAGUAUUGUAA